AGUAGUGAAGUAAAUAUACAAUUAGUUUCGACCUAAAAUUAGAGAUAAAACUUUUUUCUCCUUACUU
rnacentral:tRNA from 1 species